CAGACCAAUGUAGUACAUUCACGAACGUGUCCAAAGUUAACAGAAACAACGAUGCUUUUAAGUUUAUACUAAGUAUACUUUCAAGAAUUGCGCGUUUAGUCAAUCGAGAUGAAUUCUUAUAGCAACCGUUGUAAACACGACAGUCAACUUCUUAGAUCAGAAGGCUUUAUGUUUCUAGGCGGACCGUUAAAGAACGCGACACGCGUGUCUCCCGGAAAUCCUGUGAAAUUCAACCAAUCAGAUUACGACUUCGAACGUGCUGAAGUGUUUCCAGAGAAGUGUGCCAUGUGCAUCAGACAUUCAGCCAAUGGAUCGUGGGCGUGACGUUUGAGGCUGAGACUAUCCUGGAAUUGACAUGCAAAUUAGCAAUCUCAUAGUGGGAUAAACCCUGGUGGUUGUUACAGAUUUAGAUUUCAGUAUUUUUAUCUCCCCUUGCAGAUUUUUUUGCUCAUGUCUGACACGGCCGGAAGAGAACUCUCCAGAGCUGCAAGAGUUGUUGGAGUUGAACCUGGAAUUUCAGAGGAGGCUGGAGGAACUUCUACAUUCAGAUCGUUUCGUGAAAGAGGACUUUGCAGUGGUUCUUCAGCCCUACCUGCGCUACGCCAAGCCACCUAGACUUCCUGAUGGCAAAAUCGACACGAGUUUCUUCACAGCCGAUUGUUUUCACUUCACUGUUAAAGGUCAUGAGGAGCUGGCUAAAGGACUUUGGAAUAACAUGUUUGAACCUGAGGAAAAGAAGACAAUGAUUGACAGUUUCUCAAAUCCAGUUGAACUCAUCUGCCCAUCCCAAGAUCACCCUUACAUAUACACAAGACCGCAAAAAGAACGCCAAGUAAAGUAAUCCGCAAGCUGUCAUCAAGUUCUCUGCACAUUUUGGUUCCUAAGCACCUUUCUUAUUAUGUUAAUAAAUGAGUAAAUCUAAAAAUACCUAUCUAUAUGCUUAAUAAAUGGCUAUUCUUUCCACAUUAAUGUAAAACUAGAUUUAUGUUUUGAUAAGAUAACAUUUCUGAUAUUUUAACUUAUGUGGAAAACUUUCUUAAUAGUUUUAUAGAUAUUUACAAUGAAUUAUGGUAAAAAGAUGUAUGCUGGCUGCUAUACAGAAAAUGAGAUGGCAUUUAAAAAAAAUUAUACAUUUUGAUGAUAAUAAAUUGUUUAAAAAAUAUGAACAUUAAAGCAUAUGACGUGAUAUAUUUUAAGUUCAAGCUAAAUAAAAAUGAGCUUCUUUUCGCAUGUAAAGGGCACAUUUUACACGUGGAAGUGCUCUCUCUAGUGGCCUUUUACUGUUUUGAAAGUUUUUUAUUUUCUGGCAAAACACAUUAAAUGACAUUUAUUCUCUU